UUUAGACCCCCUUACAACAGAAAAGGAUCCCAUUGUCCAGGAGGCAAUAGGAAGAUUUUUAGUAAUCGUGGUCACCUCACUUUCUGAGGUUUGACCCAUUCUCAGACUCCCCAAAUUUCAGGUGCUCCUCCUUAUGUGCAGAGCUAUCUCAUUAGAGGAGAAUGUGAUCCUCUCAGACCUCUUCCAAGAACCCAGCUCCUGGAAUAAGUGAGUGACACCCAGGCACCUGAGCCAUUAGGAGGACGAGCUCUGGUGUUAGAUUGCCUAGGUUCAAAUCCUAGCUUUAUGACUUGCCAGUUGUGUAACCUCAGUCAAGUAUUUAUCUCAUUUUUUUGUGUUUUAGUGUCCUCACGUGUAAAAUGGAGAUUAUAUUAAUCCCCUACCUUGUAAACUGCUGCAAGGAAUAAACCAAUGUACAAAAAAUUCUUAGCAUGGCAUUUUAAGUUCUGAUAUAUAAAAGGAACAAUAAGUGAUACCUAUUAUUAUUAUCUUUUGCAGGGCAAAGAAGUCUUCUGAAGCACAAACAGUUCAACCUCUCUGCAUUGAGAGAAGUCAAGCCUUAAUCAUUGUCGCUCGUCUAUGGCUUGGAUAACUGGAUGGAUAGCAGCACCAUUCAUCACGAGGGAAGUAUGGAAGGAAAAGCAAGUUCUGAGGAAAAAUUACAAGUGCAGAUUUGGACAUUUUGCCUUUGUGAUGCCGAUAGGACAUCUAGGCAAGUCCGUGUGGACACAGAAGACCUUAGGAGAAUGUUUUGGACCAGAGUUCAGCUCUGGAAGCCAUCACCCUAUAAAGAUGAAUUGGUUCCAUUUUCUUUCAGGGGUAACUGAAGAGUUGAUAAAGGAAGCUUAUUCUCUGUUGAAGAAUUUCAGCUAAUAAAAGCAGAAGGAAUGGUGGAAUAAGAAAAUCACCAUUUUUGGAAACUAACGAAACAACGGCUCUAAGGAAUGCUCUAUUAAUGGCUGCUAAAACUACUAGGUGAAUGGUUGAUGGGGAACUUUAUAAUGAUUGGAUCAGCUGACAAUACCUGAAUGCACCCAUCAAUGUCAAUAUUGUUAUAAGUGGGACACCAGACAUUAAGGACAAUCAUGAUAUGACACCUUAUGAAGUAUACUACACCACCUAUGAAGAAUCUUCGACAAAAAAAAAUAAUUGAACUGACAGAAAAUCAAGCGUUCAUCUAAAUUUCAGUCUACAAAAAAUAAGAAAAGAGGAACAAGUUGUGCAGCACUACAAAGAAGCAAUCAACCAAUUCCAGAAUCUAGAACAUUCUAUAGGACAGACAACCUGAUUUUUCAACAAAUAAAUGUCAUGGGGGGGAGAUAAGAGGGAAUUUUUAUAAAUUAAGAGAGAAUCAAGAGACAGAUUAAGCAAAAUACAACAUUGCAGACCUUGUUUGGAUUCUGAUUCAAACAAACCAACUGUAAAAGGAUGUUUUUUAAACAACUGAGAAAUUUUUGUUAUGGAUGAUAAGGAAACCACGUUUUAAAAAAUAGACUUCAUUUGUUAGCGAUACAUAGUGAACUAUUUAAAGAUGAAAUGACAUGAAAUCUCAGAUUUGCUUUAUAAUAUUCCAGCAAAAUAAAAGUGGAAGGAUAGACGAAACACGAAUGGGAAAUUGUGAUAAUUGUCAAAACUAGGUGGUAGGUACAUAGGGUUCACUAUACUAUUUUCUCUACUUGAACUUAUUUGAAAUUUGUCAUAAUAAAAUUGUUUUUAAAUAAUGAAAAAAGCAACGUCUUGACAAUGUUACUGAAUUCCCUCUAAUCCUCAAAGCACAGAUAAUUCCUAUGUUUUCCAAAUUAUUCCAAAAUAUAGCAAAAUAUGAGAAUCUUCACAAUAGUUUUACAAAUCCAGCAUAGUCAAUAUCAAAUCUUGAGAAAGAAGACAAAAAAAGAAAGCUAUAUUUUAUAUAUAUUUUUAAAAUACAGGAUGUAA